GGAUAGCUCAAGUUGGCAGAGUAUGAGACACUUAAUCUUGGGGUUGUGGGUUCGAGCCCCACGUUGAGCA